GCCCUUUUGAGUCAGUUACAGCCCUGUGAGGUGCGUAGAUGAUGGUAGCUCGUUAAAUGCCGCCGACCAGGAAGAGUAAACACGAACCAGGAAGAUUAUACAUGGAUAUUGUCACCAUUUUGAGUUGUAGGCCUUCAUGAGAACAUGAGUAAAAGUAUCUGAUCAUGGACAAGCGCUGGGCCCAGGAUGUGUUACGGUGUCAUCUCUGUGAGACCCCGGGCCCCCCUAUGUACUGUGACAUUUGUCACAUACAUCUGUGUAAAGCCUGUGUGGGGGAACAUCUCUCUGAUCUAUCCAAAGAACACAAAGUGCUGCCAUUUGAAAAGAGAGGAUCUACUCCUAGAUGUCCAAAACACUCCACAAAACUAUGUGAACUUUACUGUGAACAAUGUGGCAUUCCUAUUUGUGCAACAUGUGCUUCCUCUGAAGAACACCACAGUCACAAAUUUAUUGAAAUAACUAAAAACAUUGAUAGAAGGAAAGAAAUCAUUCAAAAAGAUUUACAAGAACUAGAGAAAUCCAUUUAUCCCAAAUACCAAGAGAUAGCAUCCAUUAUCCCAGUCCAGAAAUCUGCUCUGAAUGAAAACUCCCAGAAAUUAACAACAGAAAUCGACAAACAUGGAGAAGACUUGCACAGAGAAAUAAACACCAUUAUCAGAAACAUGAAAUCUAACGUGGAGGAAAUGGACACCAAACACCUGGCUGUCUUAGACAAACAGGAAGAUGAAAUUAAACACACCAUUUCUGAAAUCACACAGACCAUUACUGAACUAAAGACUUUACUGGACUCCAAUGAUGUCAGCCGUGUCUCUGCCUACAAAUCCAGGAAUGAUGAAUUCAGAAGAUUGCCUCCUAAACUCACAGUGUCCUUACCAAGUUUUACCCCUCAGAAGAUCAACAAAGAACAGCUUUAUCAACAGUUUGGUUCUCUGUCAGUGUCAUCUAUCAAAACAGAAGAACAUGGCUACACCAUGGAAUCUCCCGCUGCUGAGUCCUCUCCCCAGGACAGACCACUCAUUGAUGUACCACGGAUCAUCACACAGAUAAACAUCGAGUAUGGACGAUUAGACAGUGUGUCCUGUCUGAGUGAUGAGGAGAUGUGGACGUGUGGUCGGAACAACAUCAUGAGACUGCACAACCUCCGUGGGGAACUAGUGAAGUCAGUCAAAACCAAGUCGGGGAACAAUCCACGGGACAUAGCAGUGACAAGGAGUGGGGAUCUAGUUUAUACUGAUUACGAUGAUAGAACUGUGAACAUAGUUAAGAAUAAAAAGAUAAAGACAGUGAUCAGACUACAGGGGUGGAGACCUCAGGGUGUCUGUAGUACCUCCUCUGGUGACCUCCUGGUUGUCAUGGACACUGAUGAUUAUAAACAAUCAAAAGUUGUGUGUUUCUCUGGCUCCACAGAGAAACAAAGUAUUCAGUACGACGACAAAGGACAACCUCUCUAUUCAUCUGGUGGAUACACUAAAUACAUCAGUGAGAACAGGAACCUAGAUAUCUGUGUGUCAGAUGUUAGAGCCAAUGCAGUAGUGGUGGUCAAUCAGGCCGGGAAACUCCGGUUUACCUACACUGGUCCUCCCUCUACUACCAAGAGAUCAUUCGAUCCAUACGGCAUCACAACAGACAGCCAGGGUCGCAUCCUGACAGCAGACGAUGACAACCACCGUAUCCACAUCCUGGAUCAGGACGGACAGUUCCUCCGCUACAUUGACAACUGUGAUUUACAGUAUCCAUACGGUUUAUGUGUGGACACCAGAGACAACCUCUUUGUGGCUGAGUCAACAGGUAAAGUGAGGAAAAUACAAUAUGUGUAGAACAUUACACAGCAGUGUAACAUUGUUUAUAUGUAUUACAUGUUGACAAACUGACUGUAUAUAUUAUUACUUGUUUGUGUAUAACAGUUAAUUACAUGUAUUGAAUAAUUAGUUUAUGUUAAUAAUUAAUUAUAUUUAAUUAGAAUUACAUGUCAACAAUGUUAUUGUUUAGUUUGUACAAUAAACUCAUUGUAUUUUGUGCAUUGAUUUUAAUGGUAACAAAUUAACACCUUAUAUAUCUUACUUUCCAAACAAACUAAGUGUUUGUGCAUUAGAAGAAUACAAUCAGAAGACAUUCGGUGUAAUGAACAUUGUAUAUAAAUGAUGUUAUUCAGUUGGAUGGGUAUAUCAUUGUGUAUAAUAAAUGAUUUGUAUAC
rnacentral:misc_RNA from 1 species